rnacentral:rRNA from 1 species
UACGUAGGUGGCAAGCGUUAUCCGGAAUUAUUGGGCGUAAAGAGUGAGCAGGCGGUUGGUCAAGUCUGAGGUUAAAGCGUGGAGCUCAACUCCAUAAAGCCUUGGAAACUAAUCAACUAGAGUACGGGAGAAGUAAGUGGAACUCCAUGUGUAGCGGUGAAAUGCGUAGAUAUAUGGAAGAACACCAGUGGCGAAGGCGACUUACUAGCCCGAAACUGACGCUCAGUCACGAAAGCGUGGGUAGC